CGCAAUUGACUCUCUCGGUUCAUUGCCACCUGGCGAGCGGCUCGCUUUUUCGGCGGCGCCGCUCGCCCCUUU
rnacentral:sRNA from 1 species